rnacentral:rRNA from 1 species
AGAGUUUGAUCCUGGCUCAGAACGAACGCUGGCGGCAUGCCUUAUACAUGCAAGUCGAACGAGAAAGUCACUUCGGUGGCGAGUAGAGUGGCGCACGGGUGAGUAACGCGUAGAUGAUCUACCCUUCAGUCUGGGACAACUCUUGGAAACGGGAGCUAAUACCGGAUAAAACCUUCGGGUUGAAAGAUUUAUCGCUGGGGGAUGAGUCUGCGUACCAUUAGCUUGUUGGUGGGGUAAUAGCCUACCAAGGCGACGAUGGUUAGCGGGUCUGAGAGGACGAUCCGCCACACUGGAACUGAGACACGGUCCAGACUCCUACGGGAGGCAGCAGUAGGGAAUAUUGCGCAAUGGGGGCAACCCUGACGCAGUAAUGCCGCGUGAGUGAAGAAGGCCUUCGGGUCGUAAAGCUCUUUUAUGGGGGAAGAUGAUGACGGUACCCCAUGAAUAAGCACCGGCUAACUACGUGCCAGCAGCCGCGGUAAUACGUAGGGUGCGAGCGUUGUUCGGAAUUACUGGGCGUAAAGGGCGUGCAGGCGGAUUGGCAAGCCGGAGGUGAAAGCCCGGGGCUCAACCCCGGAGGGUCUUUCGGAACUGCCAGUCUUGAGAGGGUCAGGGGCCAGCGGAAUUCCUGGUGUAGAGGUGAAAUUCGUAGAGAUCAGGAGGAACACCGGCGGCGAAAGCGGCUGGCUGGGACCACUCUGACGCUGAGGCGCGAAAGCGUGGGGAGCAAACAGGAUUAGAUACCCUGGUAGUCCACGCCGUAAACGAUGGGCACUAAGCGUCCGACGGGUUCGACCCUGUUGGGUGCUGCAGUUAACGCGUUAAG